rnacentral:lncRNA from 1 species
UCCAAUCUCCAUCAUCAUAGUCAUCAAAUUAUGCAAUGCGCCAUAUUCGUGAAACUAGUGCAAUCAACCUACUAUAAUCAUCGUGAUGCAUGAACAUGGUUUAGGCAUUUGAAUUUCAUAAUACAAAAGAUUAAGGUUAGUUCUACUCACCUCUGGCAGACGCUGAACAGACUCUGCAACUGCUAACACUGAUGGCCUCCUCGGUCCCUC